rnacentral:rRNA from 1 species
AUUGAACGCUGGCGGCAGGCCUAACACAUGCAAGUCGAACGAGUGGCGGACGGGUGAGUAAUGUUUGGGAAACUGCCCGAUGGAGGGGGAUAACUACUGGAAACGGUAGCUAAUACCGCAUACCAUCGGAUGUGCCCAGGUGGGCUUAGCUAGUAGGUGGGGUAACGGCUCCACUCGGCGACGAUCCCUAGCUGGUCUGAGAGGAUGACCGGCGACAUGGGAACUGAGACACGGUCCAGACGCCUACGGGAGGCAGCAGUGGGGAAUAUUGCACAAUGGGCGCAAGCCUGAUGCAGCCAUGCCGCGUGUAUGAAGAAGGCCUUCGGGUUGUAAAGUACUUUCAGCGAGGAGGCGUUACUCGCAGAAGAAGCACCGGCUAACUCCGUGCCAGCCGCCGCGGUAAUUC